rnacentral:rRNA from 1 species
CGCCAGACUCCUACGGGAGGCAGCAGUGGGGAAUAUUGCACAAUGGGGGAAACCCUGAUGCAGCGACGCCGCGUGAGUGAAGAAGUAUUUCGGUAUGUAAAGCUCUAUCAGCAGGGAAGAAAAUGACGGUACCUGACUAAGAAGCCCCGGCUAACUACGUGCCAGCAGCCGCGGUAAUACGUAGGGGGCAAGCGUUAUCCGGAUUUACUGGGUGUAAAGGGGGCGUAGACGGCAUGGCAAGUCAGAUGUGAAAGCCCGGGGCUCAACCCCGGGACUGCAUUUGAAACUGUCAGGCUGGAGUGCAGGAGAGGUAAGUGGAAUUCCUAGUGUAGCGGUGAAAUGCGUAGAUAUUAGGAGGAACACCAGUGGCGAAGGCGGCUUACUGGACUGUAACUGACGUUGAGGCUCGAAAGCGUGGGGAGCAAACAGGAUUAGAUACCCGAGUAU